CUUGGCGCGUAUAGACAUUUAGGCCUUUUUGUGGGCGAGCUCCCACAUUGGUAGCAGAUCGUGGUUUUUACGCUCCUGAUUUUAUAUACCGUGUAUAAAGUGACCUUUUUAUAUAACUAAAUAUCGCUCUAUCGAAGGGGAGCUCGCCCACAUAAUACUUUACGGAUUACCACCCAUGGCUUGGAUGUCCCACCCGCUUUUUACAACAACAUACCGUCGAUUCAGUAUCCCUAGUGAUGCUGUGUGGAGUAGUCCCACUAUUAACGGUGCGCGAGGCGUGGGACCCUUGCAGUACAUGACGCCCAACCGGAUGCGUAUGGACUAGCACUGGCCAAAGAGUACGGCGUACGGCUACAAUCCACACACCUGAAUGCAUUCAUGGAAAUAAUUUAUGGUGGACCGUGGGCGGGGUGUUUGGAUCGUGGGUUUAACGGUGAUGGCUUGCCAAAGAUUGGACUGGCUGGCCCGAGAUGUUUACGCCUUGCGCUUAAAAUUUAUAAAAAACGCGGCCGUAUGAUCCGUUUUUCCCAGUUUGGCCGCAUAAUAACAUUGCCAUAUACAGAAUUUUUUGCUCUGAUGGCGGAAAUUCACACAACGCACUGGAAGGACAACCGGACUUUCAGUCGCCUUUUCUUUGUUCGAUAAUGUGUCCAUUAUAAUGAUUUUAUAUUAUAGUUUACUUGUUAAACAAUGUGCCGCUGUA